rnacentral:rRNA from 1 species
GUUCAAAAGUGAAAGACGGUCUUGCUGUCACUUAUAGAUGGAUCCGCGCUGCAUUAGCUAGUUGGUAAGGUAACGGCUUACCAAGGCAACGAUGCAUAGCCGACCUGAGAGGGUGAUCGGCCACACUGGAACUGAGACACGGUCCAGACUCCUACGGGAGGCAGCAGUAGGGAAUCUUCCGCAAUGGGCGAAAGCCUGACGGAGCAACGCCGCGUGAGUGAUGAAGGUCUUCGGAUCGUAAAACUCUGUUAUUAGGGAAGAACAUAUGUGUAAGUAACUGUGCACAUCUUGACGGUACCUAAUCAGAAAGCCACGGCUAACUACGUGCCAGCAGCCGCGGUAAUACGUAGGUGGCAAGCGUUAUCCGGAAUUAUUGGGCGUAAAGCGCGCGUAGGCGGUUUUUUAAGUCUGAUGUGAAAGCCCACGGCUCAACCGUGGAGGGUCAUUGGAAACUGGAAAACUUGAGUGCAGAAGAGGAAAGUGGAAUUCCAUGUGUAGCGGUGAAAUGCGCAGAGAUAUGGAGGAACACCAGUGGCGAAGGCGACUUUCUGGUCUGUAACUGACGCUGAUGUGCGAAAGCGUGGGGAUCAAACAGGAUUAGAUACCCUGGUAGUCCACGCCGUAAACGAUGAGUGCUAAGUGUUAGGGGGUUUCCGCCCCUUAGUGCUGCAGCUAACGCAUUAAGCACUCCGCCUGGGGAGUACGACCGCAAGGUUGAAACUCAAAGGAAUUGACGGGGACCCGCACAAGCGGUGGAGCAUGUGGUUUAAUUCGAAGCAACGCGAAGAACCUUACCAAAUCUUGACAUCCUUUGACAACUCUAGAGAUAGAGCUUUCCCCUUCGGGGGACAAAGUGACAGGUGGUGCAUGGUUGUCGUCAGCUCGUGUCGUGAGAUGUUGGGUUAAGUCCCGCAACGAGCGCAACCCUUAAGCUUAGUUGCCAUCAUUAAGUUGGGCACUCUAAGUUGACUGCCGGUGACAAACCGGAGGAAGGUGGGGAUGACGUCAAAUCAUCAUGCCCCUUAUGAUUUGGGCUACACACGUGCUACAAUGGACAAUACAAAGGGCAGCGAAACCGCGAGGUCAAGCAAAUCCCAUAAAGUUGUUCUCAGUUCGGAUUGUAGUCUGCAACUCGACUACAUGAAGCUGGAAUCGCUAGUAAUCGUAGAUCAGCAUGCUACGGUGAAUACGUUCCCGGGUCUUGUACACACCGCCCGUCACACCACGAGAGUUUGUAACACCCGAAGCCGGUGGAGUAACCUUUUAGGAGCUAGCCGUCGAAGGUGGGACAAA